rnacentral:lncRNA from 1 species
UUAUACUAUUCUACCAUUAACUUAUUAAAAAAAUAACAUUGGCUUUUAUAUUUUUAAAAAUCUAUAGGUACCUACACAGUUUUUCUUAUUUGUUAUAUAUUUCUUUGCAUAGAUUUAUUUUAGAGAUGUAAUAAUAUCUAAUAAACACAAUAUUGAUUAAAUUAAAAAUAAAAAAAGUAAAGUGGUAUGGGAUUCGAACCAGGAUUAUCCACGUCCGAAGACAAACGACCAGUUCUCGUCGCCAUGCGCUCGAACUGUCAAACCAUCUAAAAUACUCGACGACAGAGUAGGAUAGUGACGUCGUCGAUACUCCCCUUGAAUUAGAAAGAGACUACCGACCAAAUAGGCUCAUUUAUCUCUGUCGCAACCGUCACCCAUUUUAAGAUCGUAAGGCGCAAUCUAGAGUAUUAUAAAUCUAUGGUUUUCUCAAGUCAAAAAUCUUAACCUUACUUUUACAAGUGAUUAGGAUUAUUAUUAUUAUUUUAUUUACAUGUAAAUUGAAACAAUAAAUAUUGUGCUGUGUCAUAAUUUCAAACUCAUUAUGUUGCAGUCUUUUCCAGUUGAUAAAAUUGCAAUUCAAAAACUUUUAGAUUUGCACUGUAUGGCUGGCACAGGAAGAGAACAAGAGUACAAGAACAUGAAACAUCUUAUUAUGAAUGUAUAUCUAUGUGAUCCUCAAAAAAUUAUUUUACAGAACAAGAUAGAGAAAGAGCUUUAAAAUCCCAAGGAUCCUGCAAAAUGUUUAUUUGGUGUACUAGUCGAAUAAUAGUAUCUAAAAAUAUUGAAACUAUUUUAAAACAGAUUACAGGCACGAGGAUGAUAUAGAGCACUUACAUAAAUACCAAAAUCAGAUAAAUAUCUCUUCAAAGUAUAUUUUGAGACUCUUCAAAAAUUAAACUUCAGACUGUUCAGGAUAGCAUAAUAGCAUAGGAGGCGAAUUAAAAAGAAUUGAUUUACUUACAAGAAAAGAUAUCACAAACAUUAAACUCUCUUAUGGCAUUGAUUUGAAAGAUGGGUAUAUGUACAAUGAUGAUGCAACCAGUGUUUAUUUUUGGGUUGAAUGCUUACAGACUCAUGUCCAAUAUUAUUUUACAAUCAACAGAGAAUACUAAUGGAUAUUCAUUCUGAAUUUAACAUUUAUGAUUUUUGUCUUAUUUGCAUGAAUGCUGUGCCAAAAGGAAAUGUUAAUUAAGUUUGGUAAAUCCUUUAUCGCAAUCGAUGGAACUCAUGGGCUCAAUUCCUAUUCCUGACUUUGAACUUAUGAUAGUAUUAGUAAAAGAUGAAUUUGGGAAUGGAUUUUGUACUGCUUUCUUAUUUUCAAAUAGAAAAGAUACCUACUUUAAUUUACCAAUUUUUUAAAAUACAUGUCUGUGUUGGUAUUAUAUGUAUAGUCAAAUGUUUUCAUAUCAGGCAUAAUCUACACCUUUUACAAUGCCUCGUCAAAUGUAAUGGGUAUUGCUCCUAAUAGACUGUUAAGUGCCUGGCACAUAGAUAGGGCAUGGUAAGUAAAUCUUAAUAAAAUAUCUGAUUCUGAAAAAAAUCCUAUUAUGUAUACAAGAUGUAUUAAUGAUGGUUUAGAGAGAGUAUUAAUAGCUUUUUGGGUAGACUUCUAAGUGAUGCAGAUACAUACAAUUUUAGUAAGUAUUUCCAGUAGAACUACUGCAAUAACAUCCAACAAUGGGCCUAUUGUUAUAGGAAGAGGUUGUGGAAUUAAUACCAAUAUGACCAUUCAAAUUUUCAUAAAAUUUUGGAUAAAAGGGUAUCCAUUAGUUGUUAUCAGUUAAGUUUAAAACUUGGCACUCAUGGAGAGCUAUACCAUAAUAUAUAAUAGGUAUAUCUCAUAUUGUUCACUACAGUAGUAAUGAGUGAGCCUGCAUACACAGAACCAUAAUAAUAUAUUAUAGUUCGUGUAUGCAGGCUCACUCAUUACAAUAGUGAGCAAUAUGAGAUAUAACAUAUUAUAGUAUAAGUCUCUGUGCAUGACCAGAUUAACAUGUUUGGUGCCCAUCUCGAACAAGCUGGUACCACAUACUUAAAUCAUUUAUUUAGUUACACAGUACUACUCGCAUAACUUAUGUGUCGUCAGUACCUUCCGUAAAACCUUCGUGAUGCUACCCAUACGUCAUGGCCACUGAAUGUGUUAAAGCUUGUUAAUGUAGGAGAGUUAUACUAAAAUAUAUAUCUUAUAUUAUAUUGCCUUAAAUAGAAAAAAUAUCUUAUUUAAAUUGUAUCCAUGUAAGUUUUGAUUUAAUGAAAUAAACCUUUUAAUCAAAAAAGUGUUGUUUACUUGUGUACACCCAGCAAUAUCCUGAUCAUAGAUAAAUAAUAUAGUAUUACCGGAUCCUGAUAUGCAGACGCCAAUAGGGCUUUUCAUCGAUUGUCAUUUGUUUCGAGCUUCUGUCAUGAGUCACAUAAUAUUAAUGUAUCUACGUCAUACGUCUUUGGUUUGUAUCAUUGGUAUAUACCAAUAACGUAUGAUGUAGAUAUAUUAAUAUUAUGUGACACAUGACAGAAGCUCGAAACAAAUGACUGUGAAUGAAAUGCCCUAUUGAAUAGGGCUUUUCAGCGAUUGUCAUUUGUUUCGAGCUUCGGUCAAGUGUC